rnacentral:rRNA from 1 species
GUUGUAGUCUGGAGAAGUGCUUUCCGCGCUGGACCGUGUACAAGUCUCUUGGAAUAGAGCGUCAUAGAGGGUGAGAAUCCCGUCUUUGACACGGACUGCCAGUGCUUUGUGAUGCGCUCUCAAAGAGUCGAGUUGUUUGGGAAUGCAGCUCAAAAUGGGUGGUAAAUUCCAUCUAAAGCUAAAUAUUGGCGAGAGACCGAUAGCGAACAAGUACCGUGAGGGAAAGAUGAAAAGCACUUUGGAAAGAGAGUUAAACAGUACGUGAAAUUGCUGAAAGGGAAACACUUGAAGUCAGUCGCGUUGUGCAGAACUCAACCUUGCUUUUCGCUUGGUGCACUUUCUGUACGACGGGCCAGCAUCGAUUUYGACCGUCGGAAAAGGAUUGAAGGAAUGUGGCACCUCCGGGUGUGUUAUAGCCUUCGGUCGCAUACGUCGGUUGGGAUCGAGGAACGCAGCGCGCCGCAAGGUGGGCCUUCGGGCUACAUUCGCGCUUAGGAUGCUGGCGUAAUGGCUUUAAAUGACCCGUCUUGAAACACGGACCAAGGAGUCUAACAUGCCUGCGAGUGUUUGGGUGGAAAACCCGAGCGCGUAAUGAAAGUGAAAGUUGAGACCUCUGUCGUGGAGGGCAUCGACGCCCGGACCUGAAGUUUUCUGACGGAUCCGCGGUAGAGCAUGUAUGUUGGGACCCGAAAGAUGGUGAACUAUGCCUGAAUAGGGUGAAGCCAGAGGAAACUCUGGUG